GGUUUUUGAAGCAGAGAGGCCUUAUCUUUGGAGGAAAAAAAAAAAAAAAGAAAACACACGCACAGGGAGGGUGGGCAGUGAAGUUAAGGAGUGUGGAGAGAAAACACAUGGAAAUUUAAUGUGAAAGUUUCUUGUUUCAAUAAAGCUGUUAGGUUUGGCAUGAAGACUGUUAUCAGAUGGUUCCUUUGACAUUACUUGAGCCUUUCAGUAAGUAAGACAAGCCUGAAGGAUUAGGUUGUCAACUUCAGCCUGUCAUCUUUAGGACAGGGGAAAAAAAAAAGUUUCUUUUUUCUUGCUCUUUUUUAUGGUUGCAUCUUCCUUCACCAGCUUUGGGGACUGCAGGAGAGGCAUUUAAGGUGUAGAAGACAACUCCGACCCCACACUGAUCACGGAUGUUCUGCUUUUAAAGAUGAGUGAGCCAGCCAAGCUGUAAGGCUAAUCACUCUGGAUCCCUCCUGGAAAAAUUCUGCAACAUCUCAAUGGAAGCUUUUAGCCCUGAAGUGUAUGUUAUCCUCAAAAUAAUUGAAGGAAGAGAAAGCGCUCCCUAUUGUCAGAUGUUGUGGAAGUUCACCUUACUUCUCAGAUGACUAUUUUUGAACAAAAGAUUCCACAUGGAAGUUAUAUUAUAUGGCAUUUGUCUUUGGUUUACUUCACUUAGUGAGAUAAUAUCUAGGUCUAUAUUGAUUUUAAAAGAUGCAAAGAGUGGCCUCGUUUUGAAGUCAUUCAUUGGUUUUCAAAACAUCACCACCACCACCGUCGUCAUCCUCAUCCAUUAUUGAAUGGUCUCCUGCUUCGUAGAAGAUACAGAGCUCAGGCCAUGAAAAAACUAAAAGAAAAUGUUCUCUCCACCUUGACUGGGAUUAGGGGGAGUUAUGUCCCAUCAGAUUUACAAGGACAAUGGAGUGACUGUCUUGGACAGAGUUUCCAUUUCCUCCACCGUAUGUGCAGAUUGUUGGGAAGGACAUAGGUGAUUUGAAGAGGGAGUAAAGAGUGGCUAAAGUCCAGCGAUUUAGAAGAAAAUGUGAACAUUUUUCCUCUCACGACUUAACUGAGAUACACACUUUCCAAAGGAUGUGUGGCAGAUAAACAUCUUGAGAAAAGGCUGCCACUUCAGGAGUCACAUUCUGCAAAAAUGAAGAAGAUAUAACAUAAGAAGGAUCCAUCUUACAAAAUGAAGUCUGUCGAUAAUUUAGUAUUGGUUUAUUUCUGUUUUCCAUCCUCUGAUGUCAAGCAAUAUACUGCCUUCCUGUCCUCAUUUCAAAGGAUAUCCCGUCUCGCUGCAGAAACAAAACAUGGAAAUGAAUCAGUCGAUAAAGGAUUUUCUCCCAUUAACGAUGUUGGCGAUUUUGUCCCAUGGAAGGGAAGUGGACCAUUAAGAUGAAUGUUCAAAAUCUAUAGAGAUCGCAGUUACUCCCCCACCCCCUGCAGCUGGACGCAAACUUUUGUGUGUGUGAUAAAGAAUGUCAAGCUAAAGUUAAAUGCAUUUUAUCUAAGUAUGGUAAUAAA